GCAUGAUCCACAAGAUCUCACCUGAUUGGUGGAGUAGGUGGGGUGGGCGCCCAUGUCAUCUGACCUGUGGGCCCUCCCCUUCGGGUGGUGGUCUUCCGGAGUCUUCUAGAUUUUUCUUUUUCAUAGUAUGACUAUUUUCUCUUUAUGUAAAUCUGACAAGUGGACCUCCUUUGGUUCUUUUCUGAUAACCCCCUGCAGAAAUAGACAUUCACCAAAACUCAUGGAAUUCUAUUAGUGUAACCCCUAUAUCUAGAUAGUAUUUAUGUUUAGAUCCUUUCUCAUGCUAUGUUGACGGUUAAAAUGAUACUUAUCUACCGUCAACAAACUCCCCCAAGCCUACCUUUUGCUCAUCCCUGAGCAAAGAUAGUCUCAGUGAUGGAUCAGGAGUUGCUACAAUGCUUUCAUGCCUUACAGGUACACAUGCGUUCAAAUAAGAAUUCUCCUCCAGAUUAGAAUGAACAAUUCCGAUGAAAAACUUACUCAUAUUACCUUCCAUCAUGGGGCUUGUAGCCAUCACUUGAGUCUUGAUCAGUUGAAAAACAUAAUGGUCAAGUCAAGUGCUAUGUUUCAAGCUCUUUGAUCAACUAUUAUUUCAGAGUUUUGCAAGAUUUUUAAAAUAAAACUCAGAGGUUCCUAUGUACGACCCUUUCAUGUCUCUCCUCUGUGGUAUUCUUGGAUCCUCUCUAAAGCAUUUAUGGUGUAUGCCUUUUUCUCUCAGAUAUUUUGUAUUUUUGGCAUUAGGAAUAGUAACAUUGUCUUCUCUCUCACCCUACUUCUAAAUAGGCUUAUGUGGGGCUCAUAGGUCAGGAGAACAACGAAUACAUACUUGCAAACAUUUAUUGCACAGUCAUACCAUAGAUCUAGAGAAACAAGUCAUAUAAUCAAAUCAAGACAUGUAUGUGUAUAGGCUGUAUGACGGGUGGUGAAUAAAUGGUAAAUGGUAUAUGGGAUAGAAGUGGUUGUAAGGGGUAAAGGAAUAAUGAUGGUGAGUACUUAGCUCCUUUGAGAAUUCUCUCAUACCUCUUUUGGAAACUUGAAGACUUUGGGGAGAACUUGGAAUGCUCAACGGAUCUCUCUUUCUUCCUUAGUGGGACAUGUCCUCUUACUUUUAUUAUUAUUAUUUUUUAUUUUUUAUUUUUUUAGAGCACCCAAGCCUCUUUUGGAACUUAAUAAUCAAGAGGUAGCACAACUGGAUAUUUGGAGCUUUAUUGGCUAGCAAGGGAUAAAUAUGGAUGAUAGGAAUAUUUUUGAGGAGUUCACUCCCAGUGUAGGAGUAGAACCAUUUUUGGGGUUAAUCUGAAUGAGAUAUAUGUGGAUUCAUACUUCCAGGUGGAUGUAUGUGGAUGUAUAUGGAUGUGUACUUUCAGGGUGGAAGCAACAUAUAUAGGUGGAGUGUGUAUGUGGAUCUUGAUUUUAACCGCAUGACCAGUUCCUAAGGGUCAACACAGCUUGACCACACUCAAUGCUCAUAAGAAGUAAAUAUAAAUGUAAGGCUUUCUAAUCUAGCAGGCAUGUAUAUGGCUGUGGUAGGAAUUAAAACUCUCGUCGUACAUAAACUCAUCAUGUAGCAAGUUAAUUUUCAAAAUAUAAAUUCUCCAGAACUCUAGUAUCUCUAGGAACAUGAUAGACAACAGCUCAAAACCUUCCCAUAUCAUAUCAUCAACUACCUAGACUUAGAUCAAGCAUUCGCUACCCACAAGAUCAGGUUUUAUAGCAAAUCUUAAAUCAAAACGAUUGUAUCCAAAACUCGAGAGAAUUCAAGUUUGGAAACUAGAUACUUGAAAAGAAUUAUGACAGAGCAACUAUUCAUCAUUUCCAUAUAAGAGUUUAUUUUAGGGGUUCAUUUUAGCAAGAUGAAACUUAGCACACUCUCCUAAAUUUAUUUAUCAAACUUAAGGGUUAUAUAGAAAAACAUAUAUAUCUAGAAGAAAACAUUUAUUUGGUUUCUAGAGGUUAUGCAUAUUUGUAUUUGUUUGAUAUAUCAAAGCAGAAAUAUAUAAGUAGAUAGAUAGGUAAGAAAAUACUUAGCUGGAUACAUGCGGGAUGCUCUCCCCCAAGCUGGAUGUUGAUGUAGUCUUGCUUGAUAUAGCUGGCAGACAGUGAAGGUGUACUCCCCUCAUUGGAGUGCACAUGAUGAUGACUGUUGAGAUAGCACUCCAACAGGGUACAGAUCGUCCUUCUAUCUGUUAGCUUUCAUUAAUCCUUUAAAUUCUGUGAAGCUCAAAUAGACAACAAGGCUUGUGGAACUUGAUUAAGUGUUAGUGAUAAACCUCUAAGCCUUGAAUAUCUAUAACCUCUUAACAAAUGUAUCUUUCUAGCAGGAUCUCCAUAACAAUAUUUUAAUGCUUUUAUCUUUUAUAUCAUGCAAGGAAAUUACAAAGAAUGAUGAAUGCAUAUUUAUUUUAUUUUAUGCCACCACAACAAAUAGACUUAUGGGUUUUAUGCCACAAAUUUAUUCACAUGAGGCUUAGCUAUUUAAGAUGCAAUGCAAGACAUAUUUAUUUUCUUUUUCUAUGCAGAAAUAAAAAUGUAACUUCAUGCAGUUGAGGAAAGUAAAUAUGAUGAAGAAAAUUAAAUGCAGUGAUGAAAACCUAGGUCCUUAGUCACGGGAUCUAUUGUCAAAAUGUUGUUGGACUACUACUACUGUAAACUCAUAUGGGUCUCAUACCCAUCUCCCUUGAUGCAUUUUCUAUUACAUUCCAUGAUAGCCCUUUCAUAAAGGGAUCUACCAAUUUUUUAUCUAACAUAAGCCAUAAUUACUCUAGAGUUUCUCAAUUUUCUAAUAGACUUCAAACGUCUUUUUUUGCAUUAUCCUUAUCACUAUUCACCUUGGCAAUUACUGUUUGGUUGUCAUAGUUCAUAAGGAUAGCUGGUAUUGGUUUUUUAACAUCAGCAGGUCCAACAAAAGCUCUCUUCAAAAUGGUCUGUCUACAAGACCUUCUUGACCCACCACCACCAGGGAAAUAUAAUGUUCAACGGGUAGUUAAGGAGAUGGCCAAUGGACAAUGGCUAAGAUGUUAUCGAUGGUUACAAAUUGACCCAUUGAUCAUUGCAUCAAAUAGCCAACAGUAUAGAGUAUUCUCGAGGUUUAGAUAUUGGGCGAUUGGUGUUGGAACUUAGGUUCCAAACAAGUUAUAGAGAGUAGAGGAGAAAGCUUGACGGUGAAAUUUCUAAAUGUUGAUGAAAUUUUGCUAAAAUUUCGUGAAUUUGGUGGUGGUCGAAAGAACCAAAAUUUCAUAAUACAGUAAUAUAGGUCUAUAUAACUUGAGACUCAUAUUUUUUUAUUAUUUAGCAUAUUUUUCUAUUUGGUAGAUGUGUAGUCAUAAAUCAUACUAAUAUUUGUUU
rnacentral:lncRNA from 1 species